CGGCGGCCGCGGCGCGCCCGCACAGCCCGCUCGACGCGGCUCGGCGAGGCACGGCCGGUGCGAGUGAAGCCCUUUUUGAUUCGCAUCCAGUUGUAUCAUGACUGCAGUAAAGACAAAUCGUUAUUACCUCAUGAAUAACUUUGGAGUGUAUUAUCCCUUGGAGUUCAUGUAAUGAAUGAGUGUCCACAUCAUCCAAGUGGGCAAAUAGUUGAUGUAUCAGACUUGCUUAAAAAGUCAAGACUGGAUUUCAUGUAACUGAAAUAUGUCUGGUAAUCAUAUUUCUGAUAUACGUUUAAAUGCAAAGAGAGCAGUUCCUAGUGUUUGCCUCCCUAAAGCCUCCCUAUCUCGUGGUCUCAUAUGCUGCUUCAAGCAAGAAAAAUCUAUUGUGUACAAGGGGGUUGACUGGGGUCCUCAGGAAGACGGCUUAGUGUAAGUGGCACGCUGAAAGCUUUGUUCUCCUUGCAGAUCUUCAGCAUGACAUACUGCCUUCAGUCAGGUGCUCACUGUUGCGUGGUCUACUGUGCUUUUUGCUGAACAGCAUUUUCACAAAUGUCCUGCUAUCAUUACAGGAAUAUUUUGUAAGCCACACACUUGAGUGCAGCAACACAAGAAGACUCCAGUCAUGCAGAAAUACAGAGUUGGACAUAACUUAGCAUAUGCUGGUAGUUGAUGGCAUUCCUUGUUUGUCUGUGGAAGAUACAGGUUUACUGGAAGGAGGAAAAGAAGGCUUUGUCCACUGCAUUAUCACUGCUCCAUGAACACCUGCAACUAGGUUUUUAAUGGGAAUCCAGCUUUCUGUCUUGGAUGUACUUAGCUCUUUGUAUGCCUAAGGAUUUAGACUCCAAAGCAGAACUUGCUGUAAAAUAAUUUUUGGUGUUUCAAUUAAGUUGAAAUGCAUGAGUAAGUAAGUGCAUGAGUCUGAUAAUCCACAGGUUUUGAUGGAAACUCCACAAACAAAUCUCAGAACUCCUUCCUUAGCACCAUCCCUACAGGAAGAAAAGGGCAGGUAGCCUGUUGGAUACUGUGAGACCAUCUGCAAGAUCCAUGGGAUCCAUCUGCACUGAGGUUUUGUGCCUUUGCAGCAGCCAUAGUCUUGCAAAGGUUUGCUUCAUGUGGGAAUGGGAAGGUAUCUGGGAGGAUCUGUAGUUUGUAUAAUGAAUUUUAGAGUAACUUUUUUUCAUACACACAAGGAUACAAACCAGAAUAUAUCUGUACAGGAGAAUAGAAUAAAAUUGUGGGUCUCUGUUGGAGAUAUGCACUCUUGGGAGAAUAGCAGCCCUACUGUGCUAAUGGUAAUGUAGGUGCAAAGCACCCAGCAUGGUCUAAGGUUUAGGAAGGGUGUUGAAUCUUGUAGGGAAUGUGAGCUGACUCUUGUAACCAUAACUCCUUUUGUCAUCAAAUGCAUUAACAUUUGCUUUGUUUCAGUGUGUGACCUGCAGUCUUUGGUUUUUCAGUAUGUUUGAGUUGAACUUCUUCAGCUCUGGGGAAGUCAGGAAGCUGCAGGCAGUAAGUAGUUAAGAAAGUGGAUGACCUCAAGGAGCGCAGAGAGGGAAUGUGAGGAAAAGCUGACAUUGUCAUCUUCGUUAGGCAAGUUCCAGUAGUCAAGAAUGGUUUCCAAGGGUGCUCCACUCCUGUACUGCUCUCAGAACCGGUCUGUCUCAGAACUAGAUCCAUCUUCUGUUAUUAUUUGCAAUAGUAUAUAUAUAUUCAGUAUGUGCUAUAAAUACAUAUGGUAUGCAGAGUACAGGGCUAAUGUUUCCAAAACUACAUAGGCAAUCUUGCGGGACUAACCAGGUUGGCUUCUUCUGUUGUACUAAGCAACACAUAUGCAUAUUGUGCAGUACUAUAAAGUGUCUGUAUGUAUUUGGAUUCAGUGACAUUUCACUGGAUGUGAAGGCUUGUUGCAGAUUUCUCAUUUGUGAUAAUAAGACUUGCCGUCUUCAUGUGUGGAUAUUCUGUGGAAGAGUCUGCGCAAAAACUAAAGUGUCAAGUGGUAUAUAGUAUUAGAUGUUAUAGAUAAUUGUUUGAUUACUGCUAAUUGUUUUUAGAGAAGUCUUCAGGUCUCCAUCCUGUUUUUUGACCUGCAACUGGUGAACAUUCUUGAAUAUGUGAUGUUCCCUUGAAAAAAGCUGGAAAGAAUUGCCAAGAAGCUAAGUGAACCAGUCAGGCAUUGCCUUUGCCUUAAAAUAUGACACCAGUAACAAAAAAUGGCAUCGUGUUACCUUUCCUUUUGGGAAUUUUCAUGGAUAUUGGGCUCCCGAGACUUUCCAACAUCAAUUUACCUGUUAAUGCAUUUGGACUUACCAAAAAUGGAUAAAUGGUUCCAUCCUUUGGGAAAAUUAAUUUGCUCUGUUGGUUGUAGAGUGUAAAGGCAACUUAAAAGAGAAAAUAAAGAACAAAAAGGACCUUCUGGAGCACACGUAAUACAAAUUCAGUGUGUUUUGUGUUCCUUUCUCUUUUUGCCUUGAAGACCAUAUAGCCUCCACUUCUAAAUGAAUUCUUAAAGCACUGGGAUUACUAAUUCAGCUUCAGGUCUUAAAUCAAUGGAACUUUUGCCUCCGGCACCUCUGGUGAAGGACAUGAAGUGAGCAUGUGUCUACAGUAUUCCAGCUAGUCUAAUAAAGGAAAGCCUCAUGAGUAGAAAAAGCAGCAACUACAUAUCAUGGGAUAGCACCUUGCCUUACAAAAAUAUUUUCUUCAUUGUGUGUUGCCAUCAAAGACAUUAACUGCUUGUAAGAUCAUUGAAUGCCUGAACUGACAGUAAACCAAAGAGGUGUGUUCAUAGCUAUAUUUUGGAAAUGCAGAGCCAGGAUCUGUAUUACUGGCUUCAGAGGAGUUGUACAGAGGAUGAGAGAGAGAGAGAGAGAGAAUGCAUCCUUUGGGAAUAAUUUAAAAUAGGUAUGUGCAUGAAUCCUGAUGCAUGUGAUUGCAUGGCUGUAUCUAAGGGAUAAUUUGGCCUAUUUUUUCUUUUUUUCCUUUUUUUUU